CAUGGGCGGUGUGUACAAGGCUCGGGAACGUAUUCACCGUGACAUUCUGAUUCACGAUUACUAGCGAUUCCGACUUCACGCAGUCGAGUUGCAGACUGCGAUCCGGACUACGAUCGGUUUUAUGGGAUUAGCUCCACCUCGCGGCUUGGCAACCCUUUGUACCGACCAUUGUAGCACGUGUGUAGCCCCAGGCCGAUAAGGGCCCAUGAUGACUUUGACGUUCAUCACCCACCCUUCCUCAGGUAUUGUCAACCGGACAG
rnacentral:rRNA from 1 species